rnacentral:lncRNA from 1 species
UGAGUGCCAUUACCCUCAGGUCUGGGAAGCAGACUGUUGUGCCUCCUGAGCCCGCUUCUACACCUACACUCGUGCCUGCCACUUGUCCUAGAGAGGACGACCAUGACGGUCCACGCAGGGCAUUUGAGGUGGGUGGAUCUUCUUCUUCAGCCGGUGGUUCUUCUUCAGGUGGACCUUCUCCCUCUUCCACCACCACCGCUGUCGCAC